rnacentral:lncRNA from 1 species
AGUGGGGGUGGAGAGAAGGGCAUUCAAGACUAGCACUCCAACACACUCCAGCUUAUCCCAGGGUUUGUUACUUAUAUUUUAAGCUUUCCCAAGUUGCUGUUCCAUCGUGUUUCCCUUUCUCUAGCACCUUUUGAUGGGCUUCAAUCGUGGUCUUGGUCUGGCUGCCUUGUUUCCUCAUUUUUCAUCAAGCUGUUUGCUGCAGCAGAGACUUUGGGCUGCUGUGCCUCCACUGCAGUUAGGAGCAGCACUAACAGUGGUGCAUGACAUUCAAGACAAACAUGAUAUUCUAAAGGUGUGCUCCAAGGGCUGGACUAUUUAUCGGGCAAUACAUCACCAUUCUGGGACUGAAGAUCGCGGGAAGAAGCCCUCUUACCCUGCCUGGCAGAAAUGGCUUGCCUUUAGACCUUGCAUUCAGACCUCAGAGGGCAAGAAGGCAGACUCUCCCAGCUCUUUCUUCCCCAGGGUGGAACGCAGGCAGAAAAGCAAAUUACACCAGCUUUGAACCAACAAGGAGCAGGACCACCCUAUGCAUCCCAGAGCGUUCCAACAUUUCAGUUCCCCGGGAAGUGGAUGUGGCUCUUCAACCCCCAGCAAGCGCACGUCAUCUGGAGACAAUAACGACAGCCACCUGGCAAGACCAUCAUCACAUGUAGGUACCCUACAAAUUUGGACCAUUUCUCUGUGCCUGUUUCGGUUUCUCUUCCACUUUGGUGAAAGAUGUCUUCUUGCAAUGCUUGCUGCUUCAGUGAGACGCAGU